UGAAGGUGUUGUAGGUGUUGGAAGGUGGUAGAGGUGUUGGAGGGGUUGUACGGGUUGGAGGUAUUGUAGGGGUUGGAGGUGUUGUAGGGGUUGGAAGGUGGUAGAGGUGUUGUAGGUGUUGGAGGGGGUUGUAGGGGUUGGAGGUGUUGUAGGGCUAGUAGGUGUAGGAGAUGUUGUAGAGGUUAGAGGUGUUGUAGGGGUUAGAGGGUUUGGAGGUGCCGGGUGGAGGGACUUUGGGCUAGGUUUCCAUCAGGAUUGCUUUGUGAAUAAUUGGUGCAGUUGUAUUGCAGUAGAAUGUAAAGAGGCGGCCGGGGCGGAGGGUUAAGUCGCCUCUAAUGCACUUUAAUUGUGCUUAGUCAUUCUGAAGGUACUUUAUUGAUCGCUUACUUCAGGAUGCAGAAAACAAAACCGUCAAAUACCACACAGAGUCCACGAUGUGGAGCAGACUUCUAAAAUAACCAUCACUACAGCUCAGAGAGAACCACAGCAUACACCGCUCAGCUAUUUCUUAAAGGAAAGAG
ensembl:lncRNA